CCUGUUUGCCCUUGAAAAGGAAGCUGUUUUAGCUUGGUCAAAAUAUUUACUGGUCACUGGAAAAUCAGAGAACACUGAUGUUGUUAAGACCUUUUUUCAGGACUACGUCUCACAGCAGUGGAGACUCUUCAAUAAAAAUGGAUGUGGCCCUCUAAAGGCUGGGGAUCUUCAGAACAACCACUGUGAGAAGCUCUACCACAGCACAGCCCAGCAGCAGGUAAAAAUCAAAUGUGCUGGAUUAUACAAGCCCUUCCCCGAGACCGUGGUGUGCUCUGGAGGCAAGUGGAGUGCCCUACCUGUGUGCUACGCCGAGCAGGUAAAAGGGCGAGUUGAGUGCAAAUCUGAAGGUGGAGCCACCGUCUGCAGGGCCUCAUGUUCGACUGGCUGGGGCUCCACCACACACCCUGAGCCAGCGGAGUACAAAUGCUCAAAGCCACCCUGUCCUUCCUUCAUACCUCACAAGUGUAACAACUGCACACAAAACAGCGUUUGUGAGUACAAUGAGGUCUGCUCUGGCGUCCUCGGCACAUGUCGUGAUGCAUGCCUGGUGAAUCCCUGUGGAGUGAACACCAAGUGCCACUCCUAUAAUCACAACAGGAUCUGCAACUGUGUGAGCCCGUGGAAAGGAGACCCAUACCAGGGAUGCAAGAGUCAGGACCUCAAGUGGGUUCGGCCCAAUAAAGUGCCCAUCUCUUUUCACCAUAUUUUUCAAUUCAAAAGUGAAACCUCUGAGGAAGGAAUUGUUCUAAAAAAAGUUUGAGGAGAAAUGGCUAUGUAGGGAAGCUUUUCAACACACGGAGUGGCUUUCUGUGCCAUUUUCCACUUGGCUCAUACACCCGGGAUGGAAGUUUCUAUGCUCUGGUUACACAACCAUGUUUGUGAAGACUCUUCACCAUGAUUCACGGUUCAGUGCUUAAGUUUCUCUAGUUCCUUUGAUUGGGUGGAGGUGCUGUAUUCAUCUUUCAAAAGACAGACUGAACCUAAAUGCACAGACGGAAAAUAGUAGCCAACUCUCACAAAACAUUUAUGCAACUGGUAUAAACACAUGCUUUUUGUUACUAAUUUUAUUCGGUUACUUUUCAGCGGGAUAUUUUUAGGAUUAAAAAAGUUCUAAAUUGUAUUAGCCAUUAACAUUUGAUGAAAGUGAGCAAGUGGAGUAUAUUUCCACCUGCAGGAUAUGUUAUGUAAGUUUGCAGAAACAUUCUGUGUUCUCUGCACAGUCAAUACUAUGAACUCAAUGCCAUAAUGUCCUUUGCUGCAAUAAUGAUGUAACCAAUGAAAUAUAAAUGCUUCAAUAAACAUUACUAAAUUCACUUUUAUUGUCUUUCUUCAGUGUUACAGCUCAAAAUAAUGGUUGUGGCUGAAAU
rnacentral:lncRNA from 1 species